AGUACAGCCAUUUCCAACCUCAGAAGAUCCCAGCCCCAAGAUUCCCACCCAAGAUUCCCACCCCAAAUCCCUCCCCCCACCCCAACAAUAUCACAGUACAGCCAUUUCAUUUCCAACCCCAAAAGAUCCCAGCACCCCAAGAAUUCCCACCCCAAGUUCCACCCAAAGAGUUCCCACCCCAAAUUCCCUCCCCCCCCCCCCCCAACCAUCCCCUCCCCACCCAUUUCCCACCCCCCAGCCACAUUUCCCAGCCCAAAGCUUUGACAGUCCAACCCUUUGGCGGUCCAUCAGCUUCAGAGUCCCGCAUUGCCCCAGCCCAAGAUGCCGUUUGUGGACAGCCCAGUUUUGGAGGGGUAGGGCUGGGGCCGGUGCUGGUGCCCCCGGAACACUGCCGCUGCUCUCUGGGCAUGGUGGGGGCCAGCGAGGAGCCCAGGGCUCCAGGGAGCCGUCUUGGUGGGCUAUGGCCACGUCUCCUGCUCCAGCAAGUGGGCCGGUUUCUUGGUGCGCUCCCGCUCGAGCCGCUGUUGGGCUGUGAUGGGCACCCCAUCAGGGCACAGUCCUCCUGCUGCCCGCCCACCGUGCUGACACAGCCAGCUUGGCCUAGCGCCGGUGUUUGUGGCCUGGGCCAUCGUGGCAGCGCGGCAGCUUCCUCUUUGUGGCUGGGCCGCUGCCAGUGUGCUGCUCGUGCCCGGUGCUCUUGCUGUUAGUGGUGGUGCAGGCGGGCGCUGGGCACUUGGCUGGCUCGGUGCUGUCCUCGUGGUGCAUGUCUGCCAGCCGGCAGGAGAUGCAUCCGGGUGGCAGUGCCAGGCGGGUGAGAACCACCCGGGGCUGCCUCCGCUGCACCUCUUGGAUCAGACGUGCAGUGCGGGGCAACAGAGGUGCGGGGGCAGCCAGGGGGGUCGGCAGUGCCAGGCGGGUGAGAACCACCCGGGGCUGCCUCCGCCGCGCCUCUUCCAUCAGAUGUGCAGUGCGGGGCGACGGAGGCGCAGGGGCAGCCAGGGGCGUCGGCACGGGCAGCUCAGGGGAUGCUGGCUGCCAGCAGAGCGAGUUGCUGAGGAGCCCUGAUUCAGGAUGUGUCUCUUUGCUCAGCUCCCUGCUGGCCCCGGAGGAGUCCGAGUGCUCUGUGCUGGAAGAAGAGGAGUCGAGGCUGCUGGAGACAUCAGGGCUCAGUGGCUCUGUGGCAGUGAUGCGCUGCAUCAGCUCUUGCGUUUGGCAGCUGUUUGCAGUGGCUUUGGUCCCCUCUCUUGUGACACCGGGCAGGUCCUGCUUGUGCUGGGGGACCUCCAGAGCACUCUCCAGAGCCGCUUCUGAAAAAGCAAGAACAUCCCCCCGAACGAUGAUGGCAGCCUUCCCACAGCCACUCGGUGCAGGCAGCCACCUCUGGGGGUCACCUCUGCGGAGCACAGUCUCACCGUCAAUCCAGUUCCAAGCAGGUGGACUCUCAGUGUCUUGCAAGUGA
rnacentral:lncRNA from 7 species